rfam:Streptococcus ictaluri 707-05 Contig1217055107, whole genome shotgun sequence.
UAUUCCUUUAAUCUAGUCCCGUGAGACUGGCAAGGAGAAUGAACGGAUCAAAAGUGCGCCAUUAGGUUUUGUGGUGCCCAUAUUUUGUGAAAUCUCCUUGCAUUCAAGGAGAUUUUUUAUGU